AGCUCCAAUAGCGUAUAUUAAAGUUGUUGCAGUUAAAAAGCUCGUAGUUGAACCUUGGCCCUGGCUAGCCGGUCCGCCUCACCGCGUGCACUGGUCCGGCCGGGGCUUUCCUCCUGGGGAUCCGCAUGGCCUUCACUGGCUGUGUUGGGGAACCAGGACUUUUACUUUGAAAAAAUUAGAGUGUUCAAAGCAGGCAUUUGCUCGAAUACAUUAGCAUGGAAUAAUGGAAUAGGACGCGUGGUCCUAUUUCGUUGGUUUCUAGGACCACCGUAAUGAUUAAUAGGGAUAGUCGGGGGCAUCAGUAUUCGAUUGUCAGAGGUGAAAUUCUUGGAUUUAUCGAAGACUAACUACUGCGAAAGCAUUUGCCAAGGAUGUUUUCA
rnacentral:rRNA from 1 species